AACCUGCCCUUGACUCUGGGAUAAGCGUUGGAAACGACGUCUAAUACCGGAUACGACCUUCGGAGGCAUCUCCUGGGGGUGGAAAGAAUUUCGGUCAAGGAUGGACUCGCGGCCUAUCAGCUAGUUGGUGAGGUAAUGGCUCACCAAGGCGACGACGGGUAGCCGGCCUGAGAGGGUGACCGGCCACACUGGGACUGAGACACGGCCCAGACUCCUACGGGAGGCAGCAGUGGGGAAUAUUGAACAAUGGGCGCAAGCCUGAUGCAGCAGCGCCGCGUGAGG
rnacentral:rRNA from 1 species